CAGUCGCCGCGGUAAUACGUAGGGGGCAAGCGUUAUCCGGAAUAACUGGGCGUGAAGGGUGCGCAGGUGGUUUAACAAGUUAGUGGUGAAAGGCAUAGGCUCAACCAAUGUAAGCCAUUAAAACUGUUUAACUUGAGUGCAGGAGAGGAAAGUGGAAUUCCUAGUGUAGCGGUGAAAUGCGUAGACAUUAGGAGGAAUACCAGUGGCGAAGGCGACUUUCUGGACUGCAACUGACACUGAGGCACGAAAGCGUGGGGAGCAAACAGGAUUAGAUACCCCGGUAGUCCCUGUCUCUUAUACA
rnacentral:rRNA from 1 species